rnacentral:rRNA from 1 species
AAUCAACGCUGGCGGCGUGCCUCAGACAUGCAAGUCGAACGCGAAAGCCCCCUUCGGGGGGCAAGUAGAGUGGCGCACGGGUGAGUAACACGUAGGUAAUCUACCUUUGGAUGGGGAAUAACCACCGGAAACGGUGGCUAAUACCGCAUAAUGCAGCGGCACCUAAUGGUGACAGUUGUUAAAGCGGGGGAUCGCAAGACCUCGCGUCUAAAGAGGAGCCUGCGGCGGAUUAGCUAGUUGGUAAGGUAACGGCUUACCAAGGCGAUGAUCCGUAGCCGGCCUGAGAGGGCGGUCGGCCACACUGACACUGACAUACGGGUCAGACUCCUACGGGAGGCAGCAGUCGGGAAUUUUGGGCAAUGGGCGAAAGCCUGACCCAGCAACGCCGCGUGAAGGAUGAAAUCCUUCGGGAUGUAAACUUUGCAAGAACGGGAAGAAUAAGCCGGUGUCAACACCACCGGCGAUGACGGUACUGUUUGUAAGCUCCGGCUAACUCCGUGCCAGCGACGCCGGACGUAACGGGUAC